rnacentral:rRNA from 1 species
UAUCAAUUUUCUAAGAGCAGACGGUGGAUGCCUUGGCAUCUGGAGCCGAAGAAGGACGUAUAAAUCUGCGAUAAGCCUCGGGGAGCUGAUAAUAGAGCUUUGAUCCGAGGAUUUCCGAAUGGGGAAACCCCGCCAGGCGUUGCAAGACGACCUGGUGACUCCCGCCUGAAUAUAUAGGGCGGGUAGAGGGAACGUGGGGAAGUGAAACAUCUCAGUACCCACAGGAAGAGAAAACAACCGUGAUUCCGUUAGUAGUGGCGAGCGAAACCGGAAGAGGCCAAACCGAUCAUGUGUGAUAGCCGGCAGGCGUUGCAUGGUCGGGGUAGCGGGACUUUUCAGCUGUUACUGCCGUACAGCAAGCGUUACAACGUUAUAUAGACGAAGUGGCUUGAAAGCCACGCCACAGAGGGUGCCAGCCCCGUAGUCGAAAUGUGAGAAAUCCCGUGUGAAUCUGCCAGGACCACCUGGUAAGCCUAAAUACUCCCAGAUGACCGAUAGCGGACAAGUACCGUGAGGGAAAGGUGAAAAGUACCCCGGGAGGGGAGUGAAAUAGUACCUGAAACCGUCUGCUUACAAACCGUUCGAGCCUCCCUAGCAGGGGUGAGAGCGUGCCUUUUGAAGAAUGAGCCUGCGAGUUAGCGAUCAGUGGCGAGGUUAACCCGAGAGGGGUAGCCGUAGCGAAAGCGAGUCUUAAUAGGGCGAUUUAGUCGCUGGUCCUAGACCCGAAGCGAAGUGAUCUAUCCAUGGCCAGGUUGAAGCGACGGUAAGACGUCGUGGAGGACCGAACCCACUUCAGUUGAAAAUGGAGGGGAUGAGCUGUGGAUAGGGGUGAAAGGCCAAUCAAACUUCGUGAUAGCUGGUUCUCUCCGAAAUGCAUUUAGGUGCAGCGUUGCGUGUUUCUUGCCGGAGGUAGAGCUACUGGAUAGCUGAUGGGCCCCAAAAGGUUACUGACGUUAGCCAAACUCCGAAUGCCGGUAAGUGAGAGCGCAGCAGUGAGACGGUGGGGGAUAAGCUUCAUCGUCGAGAGGGAAACAACCCAGACUACCAACUAAGGUCCCCAAGCGUGUGCUAAGUGGGAAAGGAUGUGGAGUUGCACAGACAACCAGGAGGUUGGCUUAGAAGCAGCCACCCUUGAAAGAGUGCGUAAUAGCUCACUGGUCAAGUGAUUCCGCGCCGACAAUGUAACGGGGCUCAAGCACACCACCGAAGUUGUAGAUUUCAUGUAUUAGCCCGGCUUAGGCCCAGGCGCAUGGAGUGGUAGGAGAGCGUCGUGUGGCGAGUGAAGCGGCGGUGUAAACCAGCCGUGGACGCCACACGAGUGAGAAUGCAGGCAUGAGUAGCGAAAGACGGGUGAGAAACCCGUCCUCCGAAAGACCAAGGGUUCCAGGGCCAGGCUAAUCCGCCCUGGGUAAGUCGGGACCUAAGGCGAGGCCGACAGGCGUAGUCGAUGGACAACGGGUUGAUAUUCCCGUACUGACGAAGAACCGCCCAAGUCAAUCCAGUAAUGCUAAGUGUCUGAAUCCCUUUGACGGAUCCCUUCGGGGUGAAGCGUUGGGCCUAGCACACGACCCUAUGCUGGUGCGGCUAGCGUAUUAACAGGUGUGACGCAGGAAGGUAGCUGAGCCGGGCGAUGGUUGACCCGGUCUAAGGAUGUAGGGCGAACGAUAGGCAAAUCCGUCGUUCACAUAGCCUGAGACCCGAUGGGUAGUCCUCACGGACGAAAUCAGUGAUCCUAUGCUGCCGAGAAAAGCAUCGACGCGAGGUUCCAGUCACCCGUACCCCAAACCGACUCAGGUGGUCAGGUAGAGAAUACCAAGGAGAUCGAGAGAAUCGUGGUUAAGGAACUCGGCAAAAUGCCCCCGUAACUUCGGGAGAAGGGGGGCCUGAGGCGUGAAGGGAUUUACUCCUGGAGCGUUUGACGGCCGCAGAGACCAGUGGGAAGCGACUGUUUACUAAAAACACAGGUCCGUGCUAAGUCGCAAGACGAUGUAUACGGACUGACGCCUGCCCGGUGCUGGAAGGUUAAGAGGAACGGUUAGCCGUAAGGCGAAGCUGAGAAUUUAAGCCCCAGUAAACGGCGGUGGUAACUAUAACCAUCCUAAGGUAGCGAAAUUCCUUGUCGGGUAAGUUCCGACCUGCACGAAUGGCGUAACGACUUCCCAGCUGUCUCAACCGCGAACUCGGCGAAAUUGCACUACGAGUAAAGAUGCUCGUUACGCGCAGAAGGACGGAAAGACCCCGUGACCUUUACUAUAGCUUUGUAUUGGUGUUUGGUGUGGCUUGUGUAGGAUAGGUGGGAGACUGUGAAGCUUGGACGCUAGUUCAGGUGGAGUCAUUGUUGAAAUACCACUCUGGUCAUACUGGAUAUCUAACUUCGGACCGUGAUCCGGUUCAGGGACAGUGCAUGGUGGGUAGUUUAACUGGGGCGGUUGCCUCCCAAAAAGUAACGGAGGCGCCCAAAGGUUCCCUCAACCUGGUUGGCAAUCAGGUGUCGAGUGUAAGUGCACAAGGGAGCUUGACUGUGAGAGUGACAACUCGAGCAGGGACGAAAGUCGGGACUAGUGAUCCGGCAGUGGCUUGUGGAAGCGCUGUCGCUCAACGGAUAAAAGGUACCUCGGGGAUAACAGGCUGAUCUUGCCCAAGAGUCCAUAUCGACGGCAUGGUUUGGCACCUCGAUGUCGGCU